GCCGCAGGUGGGAGGCGGGGAGUCCGUCCUCCUCCGGGGGGAGCACUCCGGGCCGGGGUUCCGCCCUGCUGCGGAAC
rnacentral:tRNA from 1 species